rnacentral:rRNA from 1 species
CACGUGGGGGGCAAGCGUUGUCCGGAUUUAUUAGGCGUAAAGAGCUCGUAGGCGGUUCGGUAAGUCGGGUGUGAAACCUCCAGGCUCAACUUGGAGACGCCAUUCGAUACUGCGAUGACUUGAGUCCGGUAGGGGAGCGCGGAAUCUGGUGUAGCGGUGAAAUGCGCAGAGAUCAGGAGGAACACCGGUGGCGAAGGCGGCGCUCUGGGCCGGUACUGACGCUGAGGAGCGAAAGCGUGGGGAGCGAUCCGG